CAGUCCUGGCCCGGCCGGGAGCGGGGCCGGGGCGCUGUGCGGGGCCGGGGGCGCGCAAACCACCCCGCACAGACACACGCGCAUCCGGAAUUUAAUGGCACUGGAGAACUGCCGCCGCCGAGCAUCCAGGUGGCCCCAUUCGACAAGGAACUGGGCGAAAAGCUCUCCGGAAAAAUAGCUAGAUUUGUCCUCCGAGUAACGUCUUCACCCGGUCACAGAGCCCGAACGCAACGGCAUCGCAUCGCAUCGCCGGUGCGCACGGGAGGGAUGGCAGCGCCCGCCUGGCCUCGCAGCCCCACGGGGCGCUUCGGGAGCGUCAAAGACAGGAGUCGCUAUGUACUGUAAUUACAGCCACACUGAGGAUUACAACACAAUCAUGUUUCAGCAUUGAAAUACAUAACAUACAUUUGAAAGAGACUGAAACGUAGAAGUAACAGCUAAGACUCAUGAACUGAUGGCACUGAUAACUGGUUUAUGUUCCUAGCUUCACAGGAGAGCAUGCAGGGGAAAGUAUGAGUCACAGCCUUUCAUACUGCAUUCCCCAGGAUUUAACAAGAAAUGCUUCCAAAAUACUCCAGCACAUACGGAAAAAAUGCUAAGGUGGCCUUAUAUGUUACAAGACAAUGGUUGUGACGGCCAGAAGAGGAAAACCAACACUGUGACUUGAAGCACUACCACACAUGGAUCUAUUCUUGCAGACAAAUGCAGGGUUUUGGGGCAGGAAGAAAGUAUUUUGCAAGUUUUGCACACUGUCAGCACUGGAGAGGCCACCCAGCUUUGAGAAUAUUGUUGUCAGGAAGAUACACCUCUAUAAAACUUGUGCUCAUGGCAAACUUUAAAAAUUGUAUUUGCUAAAUGCAUCGGUUCUCUCUUCAAAAAGGAUGUGGCUCAACACACUGCCCGUUGUAGGUUUUGGAAGACUUUUCAAAAUAUGCAGUUUCUUUAAGGUCUAUUUGUGCCACUUACUGGACUUCUAGUGAAUUACACUUUUAAGUGUUCCAGCCUUGAUUAAAUUAAAUCCAAGUCUUGACAGUUUAUAUUUGUCAUUAUUUUUAUUGACUUAUGGAAAAAAAAAACAAACCACACUCAAACUCUUACUAAAAAUAAAACU